rnacentral:rRNA from 1 species
GAUGAACGCUGGCGGCGUGCCUAAUACAUGCAAGUCGAGCGAACGGACGAGAAGCUUGCUUCUCUGAUGCUAGCGGCGGACGGGUGAGUAACACGUGGAUAACCUACCUAUAAGACUGGGAUAACUUCGGGAAACCGGAGCUAAUACCGGAUAAUAUUUUGAACCGCAUGGUUCAAAAGUGAAAGACGGUCUUGCUGUCACUUAUAGAUGGAUCCGCGCUGCAUUAGCUAGUUGGUAAGGUAACGGCUUACCAAGGCAACGAUGCAUAGCCGACCUGAGAGGGUGAUCGGCCACACUGGAACUGAGACACGGUCCAGACUCCUACGGGAGGCAGCAGUAGGGAAUCUUCCGCAAUGGGCGAAAGCCUGACGGAGCAACGCCGCGUGAGUGAUGAAGGUCUUCGGAUCGUAAAACUCUGUUAUUAGGGAAGAACAUAUGUGUAAGUAACUGUGCACAUCUUGACGGUACCUAAUCAGAAAGCCACGGCUAACUACGUGCCAGCAGCCGCGGUAAUACGUAGGUGGCAAGCGUUAUCCGGAAUUAUUGGGCGUAAAGCGCGCGUAGGCGGUUUUUUAAGUCUGAUGUGAAAGCCCACGGCUCAACCGUGGAGGGUCAUUGGAAACUGGAAAACUUGAGUGCAGAAGAGGAAAGUGGAAUUCCAUGUGUAGCGGUGAAAUGCGCAGAGAUAUGGAGGAACACCAGUGGCGAAGGCGACUUUCUGGUCUGUAACUGACGCUGAUGUGCGAAAGCGUGGGGAUCAAACAGGAUUAGAUACCCUGGUAGUCCACGCCGUAAACGAUGAGUGCUAAGUGUUAGGGGGUUUCCGCCCCUUAGUGCUGCAGCUAACGCAUUAAGCACUCCGCCUGGGGAGUACGACCGCAAGGUUGAAACUCAAAGGAAUUGACGGGGACCCGCACAAGCGGUGGAGCAUGUGGUUUAAUUCGAAGCAACGCGAAGAACCUUACCAAAUCUUGACAUCCUUUGACAACUCUAGAGAUAGAGCCUUCCCCUUCGGGGGGGCAAAGUGACAGGUGGUGCAUGGUUGUCGUCAGCUCGUGUCGUGAGAUGUUGGGUUAAGUCCCGCAACGAGCGCAACCCUUAAGCUUAGUUGCCAUCAUUAAGUUGGGCACUCUAAGUUGACUGCCGGUGACAAACCGGAGGAAGGUGGGGAUGACGUCAAAUCAUCAUGCCCCUUAUGAUUUGGGCUACACACGUGCUACAAUGGACAAUACAAAGGGCAGCGAAACCGCGAGGUCAGGCAAAUCCCAUAAAGUUGUUCUCAGUUCGGAUUGUAGUCUGCAACUCGACUACAUGAAGCUGGAAUCGCUAGUAAUCGUAGAUCAGCAUGCUACGGUGAAUACGUUCCCGGGUCU